GGGACUCCUCGUACUUAGGGUGAUCAGCCUUUCGUACAAUGUAUUGUGCACAAAUAUUUCAACGCUAAGCGUAAGUUACCCCUAAUAAUAGGGUUGUUCAUCUCAGUAUUUAGAGUACAAGUUCGCACCAAAGUGAUUUUGGUUUGAAUACAUAUCAGGGUAAUUUGGAAUUCAAUGAACAUCAACUAAGGAUUAGUUGAAUGAAACCAAUAACAUCAUACUAUAGAAUAAUCGUAACUGAAUCAACAUGGUAAAUUAAAGUCAUGCUUUAGGAAUAAUCUAAUAGCAUACAACUUGAAUAACUAUAAUACACCUUGCN
rnacentral:lncRNA from 1 species